AGUUCAGUUCCUUGUUAGAGCUGGAAGAGUGUGGUUGGCUGAGGGAGCUCCAGGACCUUGGAUGAGGCAGUACUGCCAAAAGUCAGGGAGAGCGAGAAGGAGCCCUGAGCUGCUUGCAGGGACUACAUCAGGACAAGGCCUUGAGACAGACUGUGUCUGACAUGGCGGGAGGGCUGAGUCAGCGAAGACCCACCACAAACAGAGAUUGCAGGCACAUGCACUUGGCCAGGGGCACCUGUGAGAGGUGAGUUGGCAGAUUAUGAGUUUGUGGUUUGACUGAACUCAUGGUGGACUUGAACUACAAUGCUGGAACUGAGCACCCUUGAUCACUGGUCUCCCUGGAUCUCUCAGAUCCAGAUUUGGUGAG